rnacentral:tRNA from 2 species
GUAGGUAUAGUUUAACCAAGACAUUAGAUUGUGAUUCUAAAAAUAAGAGUUAAAACCUCUUUAUCCACC